rnacentral:rRNA from 1 species
UACAGGGGGGGCUGGCGUUAUUCAACUUGACUGGGCGUAAAGGGUACGUAGACGACUUAUGUCGAUCUUAUUUGAAAUUCUAGUUUUGCUAGAAGGGAAUAAGAUACCGGUAGGUUAGAGUUUAGCAGAGGAUGGUGGUAUUUCCAGUGUAGGGGUGCAAUCCGUCGAUACUGGGAGGAAUGCCGCGUGUGAAGACGGCCAUCUAGGUUAGACUGACGUUGAGGUACGAAGGCGUGGGUAGCGAUCGGG